rnacentral:rRNA from 1 species
AUACGGAGGGGGCAAGCGUUGUUCGGAAUUACUGGGCGUAAAGGGCGCGUAGGCGGGCGGGAAAGUCUCUCGUGAAAUCCCACGGCUCAACCGUGGAACUGCGGGAGAUACUACUCGUCUUGAGUUCGGGAGAGGAGUGUGGAAUUCCCAGUGUAGCGGUGAAAUGCGUAGAUAUUGGGAGGAACACCGGUGGCGAAGGCGGCACUCUGGACCGAUACUGACGCUGAGGCGCGAAAGCUAGGGGAGCAAACGGGAUUAGAAACCCCAGUAGUCC